rnacentral:rRNA from 1 species
AGAGUUUGAUCCUGGCUCAGGACGAACGCUGGCGGCGCGCCUAACACAUGCAAGUCGAACGGAGAUAUAUCAGCAGAAUUUUUCGGAAGGACGCAGAUAUAGCUUAGUGGCGGACGGGUGAGUAACACGUGAGCAACCUGCCUUACAGAGGGGGAUAACGGCUGGAAACGGUCGCUAAUACCGCAUAACAUAUACGCAUCGCAUGGUGUGUAUAUCAAAGAUUUAUCACUGUAAGAUGGGCUCGCGUCUGAUUAGAUAGUUGGUGAGGUAACGGCUCACCAAGUCGACGAUCAGUAGCCGGACUGAGAGGUUGAACGGCCACAUUGGGACUGAGACACGGCCCAGACUCCUACGGGAGGCAGCAGUGGGGGAUAUUGCACAAUGGGGGAAACCCUGAUGCAGCGACGCCGCGUGAGGGAAGAAGGUUUUCGGAUUGUAAACCUCUGUCUUUGGGGAAGAAGAGAUGACGGUACCCAAGGAGGAAGCUCCGGCUAACUACGUGCCAGCAGCCGCGGU